UUCUGUAUUCUAUUAUAGCAGUUGAGGAAACCUGAAAGUUGUGCAGCCUAUCGUCGACUAUUUUGUUCCAAAUCAUUGUAUUCAGACUACUGAUUGUGCCAUCAAAAUUAUACUGAUCACCAACCCCAGCACGGACCAGUCUAUCAUUCCAUCUUCUAGAGAACCUUGGGUAACUGAUUGAUGGUUUCAUGUGUUUCUAAAUUGGCAUUACAGACUUUAUGUGAAGUCAUGUCCUUUCAAGAAAAUGGACAAGGGCUUAGUCAACAAGAUUCAUUGUUUUCUAACUCGUCUCGUUCCGUUGAAUCUCCCCUUUACUUCCUUACACAGGCCCUCUUGUUUGGAGGGUAAUUCCUUCGUGAACUUCAUCCAUUGCUGAAAACCAACGAGAUCAUGCUGUAAUUCAAGACCGAUAAUUUGUCUAGUUAGCUAAAUUACAAGUGCAUAUCUGGG
rnacentral:lncRNA from 1 species